AUUGAACGCUGGCGGCAUGCUUUACACAUGCAAGUCGAACGGCAGCGCGCGCUUCGGGCUGGCGGCGAGUGGCGAACGGGUGUGUAAUGCACCGGAAUGUGCCCAGCAGUGCGGGAUAGUACGUCGAAAGCCGGGUUAAUACCGCAUACGACCUGAGGCUGAAAGCGGGUGGGCGAUAGGCCUCGCGCGAUUGGAGGGGCCGACGCGGGAGUUGUUAGCUGGUGGGGUAAAGGCUUACUAAGGCGACGAUGCGUAGCUGGCCUGAGAGGAGGACCGGCCACACUGGGACUGAGACACGGCCCAGAGGCCUACGGGAGGCAGCAGUGGGGAAUGUUGGACAAUGGGGGGAACCAUGAUCCAGCCAUGCCGCGUGCGGGAAGAAGGCCUUCGGGUUGUAAAGCGCUUUUGUUCGGGAAGAAAUCCUCUGGGCUAAGACGAAGGGGGAAUGACGGUACCGGAAGAAUAAGCACCGGCUAACUACGUG
rnacentral:rRNA from 1 species